rnacentral:miRNA from 1 species
CCGGUGCCAUCCCGUCUCAUA